CCUACGUGUGGCUGCAGUGAGGAAUAUUGGUCAAUGGGCGAGAGCCUGAACCAGCCAAGUCGCGUGAAGGAUGAAGGCUCUAUGGUUUGUAAACUUCUUUUAUAUGGGAGUAAAUUGCGGUACGUGUUCCUUUUUGUAUGUACCCUAUGAAUAAGCAUCGGCUAACUCCGUGCCAGCAGCCGCGGUAAUACGGAGGAUUCGAGCGUUAUCCGGAUUUAUUGGGUUUAAAGUGUGCGUAGGUGGUUCAUUAAGUCAGCGGUGAAAGGUUGUGGCUCACCCAUACAAUUGCCGUUGAAACUGGUGGACUUGAGUGUAGUUGAGGUAGGCGGAAUGCGUGGUGUAGCGGUGAAAUGCAUAGAGAUCACGCAGAACUCCGAUUGCGAAGGCAGCUUACUAAACUAUAACUGACGCUGAAGCACGAAAGCGUGGGGAUCAAACAGGAUUAGAUACCCGAGUAGUC
rnacentral:rRNA from 1 species